CCUAGUAGAUUCCUAUCCUUAUCCCCUCCCUUUGUCUUUUUAGUGGUGGUUUUUUGUGGUUGUUUAAAGUGAAAACUAAAGUCUAAAGGUCCUUUUAUUAUUUUAUUAUAAGUUCUAAUAAGUCUUAUUCCUGUGAGCGAUUUGAAUACUUGAAUUCAAAAGUAACAUAUUUGAGUUUUGAAGUGAAAAUAAAACUCAAUUUUAGGACUUUUCUAAAAGUUUGUAAUCCGCUUUUUAUCUUUUCAUUGCAUUGAUAUUGAUAUAGAAUUGUAGAAUGUAGAAUUGAUAUAGAUAUAGAUAUAUAUCCCACGACCUAAUCAAAUGAGUAUCUAUCUUGGGAAUGG
rnacentral:misc_RNA from 1 species